rnacentral:lncRNA from 1 species
GGCAUGUUAUGCAUGGUUAUCUGUAACUACCAGUUAUUGGUGAUUACUGCUCAGACCCAUUAGUUCAUUAAUGACUGCAAAAUGGUGAUGUUUUCAUUCUGUCAUUUUCUUGAUGGAAUGCUUAUAUAGAGAAUUUGCCCUGCAUAUAUUAUUUGGAUACCACGAGCUAUAUAUUAUACAGAAAAGAUGGGCUAAGUGACUUUUUUAAGUUUGAAAUGAGUUGAUUUUAUAGCUUAAUUCAAAGGUAAACAAUAAUUUGCCCUUUUUAAUGUAUCAUUCUCAGACUUAAGGAUUUAAAUAUUUUUAUUUCUUAAUCAAUUGCCUUAUUAUCCUUAUUAGGAGUCAAAACUAUCCUGUAUUUGGCUGGUAGAAACUCUUUCAACUUGGCCCCCAAGCCUUUGGUAUUGUCCUUCCUUUCUGGUGCUACAAGUUCAUGGCUCAUUCUGUAUAUUCCCUGUCUCUGAUUUGGAAUUGACCAUUUCCUCUAGGGAGCCCUGGAUCUUUUUAGUUUUUAAUACCACAGCAUGGAUGUUAGGGAAUCAUUUCUAGGCCUUU